UCAAUCACUUUUUUCAAUCGAUGAAGUAUUGAAAUUCUCAUGUCAAGUUCGAAAAUGGGUGAUAUCGAUUCAAUCAUCGGGGAGUAGGUCUCAAAAAAAUCGUUAUCUACUCUUUGUUUAGACAAUAACUGGAGUAAUUCUCAACCAAUUAAAAAAAAAUGUUUUGUUGGGUUCCUAGAUAGAUUAUGUUGGUCUAAAGAUCUAGCAAUAGUAUUUUUCUUGUUAUGUGAUUUUGUCUUGUAACAAAAGCGAUUAAACAGAACAAAAAUUAAUCUGUGAGAAGCUUGCGGCGAGAGCGAAGCGAGUGCCGCAGUUCACACGAAUUUAAGUUUCAUUGAAGACAUACUCCAUUUUUUCACCGGGGAAUUUCGUAGACAGCGUUUCAGAAGAUUCUCAGCGAAACUCAACAAAAUUAAAUUAUUAACGAGAGAUGAUGACCGUUCUGGUAGUUCUUCUUUGAAUUAUGUUUCUUUUCCGCCAUCAAAUACAAAUACUAUUGAGAAGUUCAGACAGUCAAGGGAUAUGCCCCACCCAACAGUUCAGACCUAGUUUUACAGAAUUUUAUUGAAUUAAAAAUAGGCACUGUGUCCAUAACACAAAUUCCUCUCAUUUUUUUCAAUCGUGCUUUGUUAUAUUAUACACAAUUUGAAAUAACCAUUGAGAACGUCACGAAGAUAUUUUCAUUAAAUGCGUUUUGGAAUGAAGAGAAAUCAUAAAAAUAAAAUCUCACAAAGGUAACAAUCCACAAUGUUUCGAGACUAAAAAUUGAAAUGAAUUUAUUUUCCAUCCUGGAGUACCAAAAACGUCACAUUCUCUCACCAAAUCUAGUGCCGAAAGAAUAAAGUUCUACCUUACUUUUCUUUGCUCUUUUUUCCACCGCUUAUGUCAUUUUCGAUCCUAUGUUUAUUACUUCCCAGAUGUGUCAGUUCAAGUUUGUUGGUAUGUUUUGUUCGGAAUGUGACUUUGGUGCUCCAGUAUGAAAAAUAGUAUACAUCACUGGGAUCAAAAAGGAGCAUUUAAGAGUGCGGUGGUGAAAACGUCCAGGGAUGGAGCAACGCGAAGCGACGUGGCUCUAAAACCUUUUUGAUCCUAGUGACGUAACAUACUGUUGUAAUAAUUGAAAAAAAGAGAAAAAAUUGACUGCAUUGAAAGCAGAUUUUUUUGUGUGCUCUGAAUGUCAUUUCUGUAUGAAUAUACGUAUAGUCACAGUCUCUGUUUUAGCCAACAAAGAAACGUUAAAUAAACAUUAAAUAAAGAGAAAAUGAAUUUUUAAAAUGAAAAUAUAAAUCAAAUAAAGGUAAAUAAAUAACAUUAAAUUAACUAUGAUAUCUACAUUAGAUAUAGCUAGGUGAUAAAUUGAAAUGAAAAUGUUAUUGAUAAGGCGAUAAUAAAUUUAAUUAAUCUGGCAAAAAAA